UACGAAGGGGGCUAGCGUUGUUCGGAAUUACUGGGCGUAAAGCGCGCGCAGGCGGUUCUUCAAGUCAGAGGUGAAAGCCCGGGGCUCAACCCCGGAACUGCCCUUGAAACUGCAGUGCUAGAAUUCUGGAGAGGCGAGUGGAAUUCCGAGUGUAGAGGUGAAAUUCGUAGAUAUUCGGAAGAACACCAGUGGCGAAGGCGACUCGCUGGACAGACAUUGACGCUGAGGUGCGAAAGCGUGGGGAGCAAACAGG
rnacentral:rRNA from 1 species